rnacentral:rRNA from 1 species
UGAGUAUAGUUGAGGUAGCUGGAAUGAGUAGUGUAGCGGUGAAAUGCAUAGAUAUUACUCAGAACACCGAUUGCGAAGGCAGGUUACCAAGUUAUAACUGACGCUGAGGGACGAAAGCGUGGGGAGCGAACAGGAUUAGAUACCCUGGUAGUCCACGCCGUAAACGAUGCUAACUCGUUUUUGGGCUUUAGGGUUCAGAGACUAAGCGAAAGUGAUAAGUUAGCCACCUGGGGAGUACGACCGCAAGGUUGAAACUCAAAGGAAUUGACGGGGGCCCGCACAAGCGGUGGAUCAUGUGGUUUAAUUCGAUGAUACGCGAGGAACCUUACCAAGGCUUAAAUGGGAAUUGACAGCUGUAGAAAUACGGUUUUCUUCGGACAAUUUUCAAGGUGCUGCAUGGUUGUCGUCAGCUCGUGCCGUGAGGUGUUAGGUUAAGUCCUGCAACGAGCGCAACCCCUGUCACUAGUUGCCAUCAUUAAGUUGGGGACUCUAGUGAGACUGCCUACGCAAGUAGCGAGGAAGGUGGGGAUGACGUCAAAUCAUCACGGCCCUUACGCCUUGGGCCACACACGUGAUACAAUGGCCGGUACAGAGGGCAGCUACACUGCGAAGUGAUGCAAAUCUCGAA